rnacentral:rRNA from 1 species
UCGCUCUUUGAAUAUCCUAUAUAAAGAGUNGUACCUGCCCAAUGAAAUUGUUUGAAUGGCCGCAGUAUCCUGACUGUGCUAAGGUAGCAUAAUCCAUAGUUUUUUAAUUGAAAACCUGUAUGAAUGGUUUGACGUAGAUAAAGCUGUCUUUUUUAUAAUAUUUAGAAUUUGUUUUUUAAGUGAAGAAACUUAAAUGAUUUCAAAAGACGAAAAGACCCUGUCGAGCUUUAAAUUUAUUUUAAAUUUCUUUUGUAGAAAAAUUAUUAUUUGAAUGAAGUUUUUAGUUGGGACAACAAAGGAACCAAAAAAGCUUCCUUUUAUUAAAUAUAAUUGAUAAAUUAUUAUGAUCUAAAAAUUUUAAUUAAAAGAAAUAGUUACCGCAGGGAUAACAGCAUAAUUUUUCUGGAGAGUUCAUAUUGAAGGAAAAGAUUGUGACCUCGAUGUUGGAUUGGAAAAGCUUCUAAAUGCAGUAGUUUAGANAAGUAAGUCUGUUCGACUUUUAAAUUUCCACA